rnacentral:rRNA from 1 species
GAUGAACGCUGGCGGCGUGCCUAAUACAUGCAAGUCGAGCGAACGGACGAGAAGCUUUCUUCUCUGAUGUUAGCGGCGGACGUGAGAGUAACACGUGGAUACCCUACCUAUAAGACUGGGAUAACUUCGUGAAACCGUAGCUAAUACCGUCUAAUAUUUUGAACCGCAUGGUUCAAAAGUGAAAUACGGUCUUGCUGUCUCUUAUAGCUGGUUCCGGGCUGCAUUAGCUAGUUGGUAAGGUAACGGCUUACCAAGGCAACGAUGCGUAGCCGACCUGAGAGGGUGAUCGGCCACACUGGAACUGAGACACGGCCCAGAAUCCUACGGGAGGCAGCAGUAGGGAAUUUUCCGCAAUGGGCGAAAGCCUGAUGGAGCAACGCCGCGUGAGUGAAGAAGGCCUUCGGAUCGUAAAACGCUGUUAUUAGGAAAGAAAAGAUGUGUAAGUAUAUGUGCAGAUGAUGACGGUACCGAAAGAGAAAGCCACGGCUAACUACGUG